AAGUCGUAACAAGGUCUCCGUAGGUGAACCUGCGGAGGGAUCAUUACUGAGUUUAGGUGGAAUCCACCCAACCCCAACCCUUUGUGAACACAUCUUGUUGCUUCGGGGGCGACCCUGCCAUUCGUGGCAUUCCCCCGACGGUCAUCAAAGCACUGACAUCUUACGUUCGGUAGUAAAAAGGUUAAUUUAAAAUUAAAAUCA
rnacentral:misc_RNA from 1 species